GACGAACGCUGGCGGCGUGCUUAACACAUGCAAGUCGAACGAAGUGGCGAACGGGUGAGUAACGCGUAAUCAACCUGCCCUUCAGAGGGGGACAACAGUUGGAAACGACUGCUCAUACCGCAUACUGAAGGAGGGGAUUGCGUCUGAGUAGCUAGUUGGAGGGGUAACGGCCGAACAGGGCGAUGAUCAGUUGGCGGUGUGAGAGGAUGAACGGCCACAUUGGGACUGAGACACGGCCCAGACUCCUACGGGAGGCAGCAGGGGGGAAUCUGCCGGAAUGGACGAAAGUCUGACGGGGCAAAGCCGCGUGAGGGAUGACGGCCUUCGGGUUGUAAAGCUCUGUUAAUCGGGACGCGGUACCGGAAUAGAAAGCCACGGCUAACUACGUGCCAGCAGCCGCGGUAAUUC
rnacentral:rRNA from 1 species